rnacentral:rRNA from 1 species
GUCCUCUUGGUUUUGUGGGAGGUUUGGCCUGCCCGGUGAUAUUUUAACGGCCGCGGUAUUUUGACCGUGCAAAGGUAGCAUAAUCAUUAGUCUUUUAAUAGGAGGCUGGAAUGAAAGGUUUGACGAGGCAAUAACUGUCUCAUUUAAAUAAAAUUAAAAUUUAACUUUUAAGUUAAAAGGCUUAAAUGUUGUUGGAAGACGAGAAGACCCUAUAGAGCUUUAUAUUUAUGUUUUUAACCUUUAUUAGUUUAUGAUUAUAGGUUAUUGUUUAUAAAUAUUUUGUUGGGGUGACAAAAAUAUUUAAUUAACUUUUAUAUUUAUUUUACAUUAAUUUGUGAUUGUUAGAUCCUUUAUUAUUGAUCAUUAGAAUAAGUUACCUUAGGGAUAACAGCGUAAUCCUCUUUUGGAGUUCAAAUUUACAAGGGGGCUUGCGACCUCGAUGUUGGAUUAAGAUAAUAAUUAGGUGUAGCAGCUUAAUUUAUAGGUCUGUUCGACCUUUAAAUUCUUACAUGAUCUGAGUUCAGACCGG